rnacentral:tRNA from 1 species
GCCUUUGUGGUGUAAUGGUCAGCACACUCGGCGCGUAUUCGAGAGGUCUGAGGUUCGUGUCCCGGCGAGGGCA